AAGGUUGUUCUAACAAAUCUGAUACAGUCAUGAUAUAACAAGAAUGUUACAAGGUGACGGCACAAGGUUGUAACAAUAUUGUUAUGCCAUGACUGUAUCAGACUUGUUGGAACAACCUU